CUGAGAAGGAUUUAGCACUGGGUGCAGCUUGGGAGGAAAUAGUAUAAGCACCUGGAACCUCCAAGAAUAAACACUGGAAUGAGCUGCUCUUUGAGAGGGGGCAGGAGGUCAGUAAAGGGGUGGGACUACAAGUGACCUGAGUGGUCAGAAAGAGCAAACUGUAUGCUCUGAGUGGCUGUUGAUGGAGGGUACUAGAGUUGAAGACACACUACACCUGGCCAUGAAGGGGUGGUCUAGUUGCUCAGAGAGGUGGGACUGUUCCACAUUUCAGAGAGACAAGUUAUUACAGGAAAACUUGUACUCAAAAUGUGCUGAAAGCAGCAGAGAAGGAAAAAAUCGUCAUGCCUUGAGGAUGAGUACUGGACUAGGACUUUAUUCCUGGCUCUGCAGCUAGCCUUCUGGUGGCCUUGGGCAAAUCACUUCACCUCUCUGUGUCUCAGUUACACCAUGUGUAAAAGGAGAAUGAUACUGACCUUGGUAAAGCGCUGUGGAUGCAAAGCACUAUAUAACAGCUAAGUGCAAUCAUCAAGAAAAGACCUGAGUUGUGCUGCAGAUUCCCUACUGAAUGAGCAUACUUCAUAUUUGGCACAAAAAAGAACUCUGUAUUAAUAGAACUGGCAGAAUACUGCAAAACAACACGAACAUAAAAAUCAGUUUGGACAUACUAGCAUAAAUAUUUAUAGAAAGUGAUUUUGCUUUCCCAGGACACUUGCACCAGAAACCUGAUUCUAAGGCUGUGUCUACUCUGCACUGUCACUGGUAAAACUUUUGUCGGUAAGGGGCGUGGGAAAAAA